rnacentral:rRNA from 1 species
GUCCACGCUGUAAACGAUGAGUGCUAGACGUCGUGGGUAUUGACCCCGCGGUGUCGAAGUUAACACGUUAAGCACUCCGCCUGGGGAGUACGGUCGCAAGAUUAAAACUCAAAGGAAUUGACGGGGCCCGCACAAGCGGUGGAGCAUGUGGUUUAAUUCGACGCAACGCGAAGAACCUUACCAGGGUUCGAAAGGCAGGAGACCGGUGUAGAGAUACACUUUCCCUUCGGGGCUGCUGUCUAGGUGCUGCAUGGCUGUCGU